GACGAACGCUGGCGGCGUGCUUAACACAUGCAAGUCGAACGGAAAGGCCCUGCUGUUGUGUGGUGCUCGAGUGGCGAACGGGUGAGUAACACGUGAGUAACCUGCCCUUGACUUUGGGAUAACUUCAGGAAACUUGGGCUAAUACCGGAUAGGAGCUCCUGCUGCAUGGUGGGUGUUGGAAAGUUUAGGCGGUUGGGGAUGGACUCGCGGCUUAUCAGCUUGUGGGUCGGGUAGUGGCUUACCAAGACUUGGACGGGUAGCCGGCCUGAGAGGGUGACCGGCGACAUUAGGACUGAGGGAGGGACCAGAGGGCAACGGGAGGCAGCAGGGGGAAACCUGACCCAGUGAGCGGGCGCCUAAUGCAACAGCGCCGGGUGCGGGAUGACGGCCUGUGCGUUGCGAAACGCUUUCGCCUGAGACGAAGCGGUAGUGACGGUAAUGGAAAAAGAAGCACCGGCUAACUACGUG
rnacentral:rRNA from 1 species